rnacentral:rRNA from 1 species
GACGAACGCUGGCGGCGUGCUUAACACAUGCAAGUCGAACGGAAAGGCCCUGCUUUUGUGGGGUGCUCGAGUGGCGAACGGGUGAGUAACACGUGAGUAACCUGCCCUUGACUUUGGGAUAACUUCAGGAAACUGGGGCUAAUACCGGAUAGGAGCUCCUGCUGCAUGGUGGGGGUUGGAAAGUUUCGGCGGUUGGGGAUGGACUCGCGGCUUAUCAGCUUGUUGGUGGGGUAGUGGCUUACCAAGGGUUUGACGGGUAGCCGGCCUGAGAGGGUGACCGGCGACAUUGGGACUGAGAGACGGACCAGACUGCUACGGGAGGCAGCAGUGGGGAAUAUUGCACAAUGGGCGGAAGCCUGAUGCAGCAACGCCGCGUGCGGGAUGACGGCCUUCGGGGUGUAAACCGCUUUCGCCUGUGACGAAGCGUGAGUGACGGUAAUGGGUAAAGAAGCACCGGCUAACUACGUG